rnacentral:lncRNA from 1 species
GGAUAUACAAACAAUAUACACAAAGCUGUAAAGAACACACAAACAUACUUUGACUACUUAUUUAAGUUAGUAUCUCGCAAGUACUUCUAAUCCUAUUAAAGUUAAAGAGACAAUAUUUAAGUUAGUAUCUCGCAAGUACUUCUAAUCCUAUUAAAGUUAAAGAGACAAUUGUAAUUAUACUCAUCACAAAGAUUUUUUGUUACUUUUUUUUUCUUUGUGAACAAUUAAAAAACUUCUUUUCUUGAAAGCCCAUCAUGAGACUGAUACCGA